rnacentral:rRNA from 1 species
UUGAACGCUGGCGGCAUGCCUUACACAUGCAAGUCGAACGGUAACGGGCCUUCGGGUGCCGACGAGUGGCGAACGGGUGAGUAAUACAUCGGAACGUGCCCGAUCGUGGGGGAUAACGAGGCGAAAGCUUUGCUAAUACCGCAUACGAUCUACGGAUGAAAGCAGGGGACCGCAAGGCCUUGCGCGGACGGAGCGGCCGAUGGCAGAUUAGGUAGUUGGUGGGAUAAAAGCUUACCAAGCCGACGAUCUGUAGCUGGUCUGAGAGGAUGAUCAGCCACACUGGGACUGAGACUCGGCCCAGACUCCUACGGGAGGCAGCAGUGGGGAAUUUUGGACAAUGGGCGCAAGCCUGAUCCAGCCAUGCCGCGUGCAGGAUGAAGGCCUUCGGGUUGUAAACUGCUUUUGUACGGAACGAAAAGCCUUCUUUUAAUACAGGAGGGUCAUGACGGUACCGUAAGAAUAAGCACCGGCUAACUACGUG